rnacentral:rRNA from 1 species
GAUGAACGCUGGCGGCGUGCCUAAUACAUGCAGGUCGGGCGAACGGACGAGAAGCUUGCUUCUCUGAUGUUAGCGGCGGACGGGUGAGUAACACGUGGAUAACCUACCUAUAAGACUGGGAUAACUUCGGGAAACCGGAGCUAAUACCGGCUGAUAUUUUGAACCGCAUGGUUCAAAAGUGAAAGACGGUCUUGCUGUCACUUAUAGAUGGAUCCGCGCUGCAUUAGCUAGUUGGUAAGGUAACGGCUUACCAAGGCAACGAUGCAUAGCCGACCUGAGAGGGUGAUCGGCCACACUGGAACUGAGACACGGUCCAGACUCCUACGGGAGGCAGCAGUAGGGAAUCUUCCGCAAUGGGCGAAAGCCUGACGGAGCAACGCCGCGUGAGUGAUGAAGGUCUUCGGAUCGUAAAACUCUGUUAUUAGGGAAGAACAUAUGUGUAAGUAACUGUGCACAUCUUGACGGUACCUAAUCAGAAAGCCACGGCUAACUACGUG